rnacentral:rRNA from 1 species
CCUGCACCUGCCGGCGACCGGCGCACGGGUGAGUAACACGUAUGGAACCUGCCCGCCACAGGGGGAUAACCCGGGGAAACCCGGCCUAAUACCCCAUGCCGCCCGGACCGGGCAUCCGGUCCGGGCGAAAGGAGGAAUCCGGUGGCGGCUGGGCAUGCGGCGCAUUAGCUAGACGGCGGGGUGACGGCCCACCGUGGCGACGAUGCGUAGGGGUUCUGAGAGGAAGGCCCCCCACACUGGGACUGAGACACGGCCCAGACUCCUACGGAAGGCAGCAG